CCAAACCCCCUUCUCUCUCUAGAACUCAAAUUUCUUAUUUUCUUUACCUUCUCUCUAACCUUGCUUCACUUUCUCUGUACCCCUUUCUCAAAUUUCCACCGUUGCUUUGUCAAAUAGGUGGUGCUCCUACGUUCCCAAAGUCGAGGGCUUUCAAUUCCUCCGAUUAGUUUCGCAUAUCUCAAUUGAUAAGAUACUGUGGAGUUGCCUCUGUGUGGAGGUACGAUUAGGGAAUUUUUCUAUUGAGCUGUACUGUGAAGAUCAUAGAGAUGGCGUGGAGGAUACCUUGGGAACAACUCUUAAUGGAGAUGGAAAUGUCGCUGUCUAGUUCAUUAGACUUUACUUUUCUUAGUCUUAGAUAUUUUGAAGAACUUUAUUUGUUAUGUUUAAAGUUUUAAAUUCCUAUCCUUUUUAGGAGAACUAUAUUUAUCCAAGUUCCUAAAUUCUUGUACUGCUUAAGGAUGAAUGUAAUGCUAAUUGUCUCUAGUAUACUCUAACUGCUUUCAAUUAUUAUAUAUGAUGACGUCUUGAU